rnacentral:lncRNA from 1 species
UGAUCCGCUCCACUACAUUCUCAACUCUACACAUAGACAUGUCGUAUACCCGCUGCGGCGAUGAAUCAUGUCACUUCAUGCGGUCCCUCCAUGAUCAACCAAGAAACUAUGCAGCGGUUUACAGGUUUUCAAUCUGUUAUGUUGCACAACCACACAUAUACCUUAACCCUUUACCUACACAUGCAAUACAAAUACGAGCCAACUCCUCCCAUACCCCCAAUUGUUU